rnacentral:rRNA from 2 species
CCUCGUGAAUUCAUCUCCGGGGGUAGAGCACUGUUUCGGCAAGGGGGUCAUCCCGACUUACCAACCCGAUGCAAACUGCGAAUACCGGAGAAUGUUAUCACGGGAGACACACGGCGGGUGCUAACGUCCGUCGUGAAGAGGGAAACAACCCAGACCGCCAGCUAAGGUCCCAAAGUCAUGGUUAAGUGGGAAACGAUGUGGGAAGGCCCAGACAGCCAGGAUGUUGGCUUAGAAGCAGCCAUCAUUUAAAGAAAGCGUAAUAGCUCACUGGUCGAGUCGGCCUGCGCGGAAGAUGUAACGGGGCUAAACCAUGCACCGAAGCUGCGGCAGCGACACUGUGUGUUGUUGGGUAGGGGAGCGUUCUGUAAGCCUGUGAAGGUGUGCUGUGAGGCAUGCUGGAGGUAUCAGAAGUGCGAAUGCUGACAUAAGUAACGAUAAAGCGGGUGAAAAGCCCGCUCGCCGGAAGACCAAGGGUUCCUGUCCAACGUUAAUCGGGGCAGGGUGAGUCGACCCCUAAGGCGAGGCCGAAAGGCGUAGUCGAUGGGAAACAGGUUAAUAUUCCUGUACUUGGUGUUACUGCGAAGGGGGGACGGAGAAGGCUAUGUUGGCCGGGCGACGGUUGUCCCGGUUUAAGCGUGUAGGCUGGUUUUCCAGGCAAAUCCGGAAAAUCAAGGCUGAGGCGUGAUGACGAGGCACUACGGUGCUGAAGCAACAAAUGCCCUGCUUCCAGGAAAAGCCUCUAAGCAUCAGGUAACAUCAAAUCGUACCCCAAACCGACACAGGUGGUCAGGUAGAGAAUACCAAGGCGCUUGAGAGAACUCGGGUGAAGGAACUAGGCAAAAUGGUGCCGUAACUUCGGGAGAAGGCACGCUGAUAUGUAGGUGAAGUCCCUCGCGGAUGGAGCUGAAAUCAGUCGAAGAUACCAGCUGGCUGCAACUGUUUAUUAAAAACACAGCACUGUGCAAACACGAAAGUGGACGUAUACGGUGUGACGCCUGCCCGGUGCCGGAAGGUUAAUUGAUGGGGUCAGCGCAAGCGAAGCUCUUGAUCGAAGCCCCGGUAAACGGCGGCCGUAACUAUAACGGUCCUAAGGUAGCGAAAUUCCUUGUCGGGUAAGUUCCGACCUGCACGAAUGGCGUAAUGAUGGCCAGGCUGUCUCCACCCGAGACUCAGUGAAAUUGAACUCGCUGUGAAGAUGCAGUGUACCCGCGGCAAGACGGAAAGACCCCGUGAACCUUUACUAUAGCUUGACACUGAACAUUGAGCCUUGAUGUGUAGGAUAGGUGGGAGGCUUUGAAGUGUGGACGCCAGUCUGCAUGGAGCCGACCUUGAAAUACCACCCUUUAAUGUUUGAUGUUCUAACGUGGACCCGUGAUCCGGGUUGCGGACAGUGUCUGGUGGGUAGUUUGACUGGGGCGGUCUCCUCCUAAAGAGUAACGGAGGAGCACGAAGGUUGGCUAAUCCUGGUCGGACAUCAGGAGGUUAGUGCAAUGGCAUAAGCCAGCUUGACUGCGAGCGUGACGGCGCGAGCAGGUGCGAAAGCAGGUCAUAGUGAUCCGGUGGUUCUGAAUGGAAGGGCCAUCGCUCAACGGAUAAAAGGUACUCCGGGGAUAACAGGCUGAUACCGCCCAAGAGUUCAUAUCGACGGCGGUGUUUGGCACCUCGAUGUCGGCUCAUCACAUCCUGGGGCUGAAGUAGGUCCCAAGGGUAUGGCUGUUCGCCAUUUAAAGUGGUACGCGAGCUGGGUUUAGAACGUCGUGAGACAGUUCGGUCCCUAUCUGCCGUGGGCGCUGGAGAACUGAGGGGGGCUGCUCCUAGUACGAGAGGACCGGAGUGGACGCAUCACUGGUGUUCGGGUUGUCAUGCCAAUGGCACUGCCCGGUAGCUAAAUGCGGAAGAGAUAAGUGCUGAAAGCAUCUAAGCACGAAACUUGCCCCGAGAUGAGUUCUCCCUGACCCUUUAAGGGUCCUGAAGGAACGUUGAAGACGACGACGUUGAUAGGCCGGGUGUGUAAGCGCAGCGAUGCGUUGAGCUAACCGGUACUAAUGAACCGUGAGGCUUAACCUU